AGAAGUGAGAGAUGAAGAUUGAGAGGAGGGUAAGCAAGAUAAUACCUGAUGUCGGGCAAGAGAAAUGAAAUGAGGAGCAAGUGUGAUAAAUUUUUGAGGUCUCUUUCGUUUUGGGGAGUUAGGGCAGUGGGGAGCAGUGUUUGUUUUUUAUUUUUGGCAAAUGAAUCCGUUCAAAAAAAUUUUAACAACUAAAACCUUGUCGACUUUCGCUUCCGCGACUUUUCAGCCACUUUCGCAAUUCCGCGUACAUGACCAAUUGACCGCUUCUGCGGUUGUCUCCACUCUUGCGUUGAAAUUUUCGCUUCUUCGGUACCGCAGAUACGGUCAAAAUACCACAGAAGCGGUAUUAGCAGAAGCGGUACCGCAGAUAUGGUUGCAUUCCCGCAACCAAACAAAGUGUCAUUAGCAUGAAAAACCAACCGGGCAAGUU
rnacentral:lncRNA from 1 species